rnacentral:rRNA from 1 species
GACGAACGCUGGCGGCGCGCCUAACACAUGCAAGUCGAGCGAAGCGUCUUAAAGGAAGUUUUCGGAUGGAAUUUGGGAUGACUGAGUGGCGGACGGGUGAGUAACGCGUGGAUAACCUGCCUCGUACAGGGGGAUAACAGCUAGAAAUGGCUGCUAAUACCGCAUAAGCGCACAGUGCCGCAUGGCAGUGUGUGAAAAACUCCGGUGGUAUGAGAUGGAUCCGCGUCUGAUUAGCCAGUUGGCGGGGUAACGGCCCACCAAAGCGACGAUCAGUAGCCGGCCUGAGAGGGCGACCGGCCACAUUGGAACUGAGACACGGUCCAG